rnacentral:rRNA from 1 species
UGGGGAAUAUUGGACAAUGGGCGAAAGCCUGAUCCAGCCAUGCCGCGUGUGUGAAGAAGGUCUUCGGAUUGUAAAGCACUUUAAGUUGGGAGGAAGGGCAGUAAGCGAUUACCUUGCUGUUUUGACGUUACCGACAGAAUAAGCACCGGCUAACUCUGUGCCAGCAGCCGCGGUAAUACAGAGGGUGCAAGCGUUAAUCGGAAUUACUGGGCGUAAAGCGCGCGUAGGUGGUUCGUUAAGUUGAAUGUGAAAGCCACGGGCUCAACCUGGGAACUGCAUCCAAAACUGGCGAGCUAGAGUAGGGCAGAGGGUGGUGGAAUUUCCUGUGUAGCGGUGAAAUGCGUAGAUAUAGGAAGGAACACCAGUGGCGAAGGCGACCACCUGGGCUCAUACUGACACUGAGGUGCGAAAGCGUGGGGAGCAAACAGG